UGGGGAAUUUUGGACAAUGGGGGCAACCCUGAUCCAGCCAUGCCGCGUGAGUGAAGAAGGCCUUCGGGUUGUAAAGCUCUUUCGGCGGGGAAGAAAUGGCUACGGCUAAUAUCCGUUGUUGAUGACGGUACCCGCAUAAGAAGCACCGGCUAACUACGUGCCAGCAGCCGCGGUAAUACGUAGGGUGCGAGCGUUAAUCGGAAUUACUGGGCGUAAAGCGUGCGCAGGCGGUUUCGUAAGACAGACGUGAAAUCCCCGGGCUCAACCUGGGAACUGCGUUUGUGACUGCGAGGCUAGAGUACGGCAGAGGGGGGUAGAAUUCCACGUGUAGCAGUGAAAUGCGUAGAGAUGUGGAGGAAUACCGAUGGCGAAGGCAGCCCCCUGGGUUAGUACUGACGCUCAUGCACGAAAGCGUGGGGAGCAAACA
rnacentral:rRNA from 1 species